rnacentral:lncRNA from 1 species
UUCUGGGUAGUGGAGGGUAUAUCUUUUGUUGGUUUUGACAUUUCUUGUGUAGUAAUGUUAUCUCCAUUGUCCCCACUAAGAUAUAAUAAUAGAAUUUAUUUGUUUGUUAUCUAUUUUAUUUACCUGUUGAGAGGUAGAAUUCAUGCUUUCUCUAAGUCUCAUUUUCUGGCUUAUCUUUACGACAAACGUGCUUUAGAAAUGCUGUGCGGCUGAUGAUGGCCGUUGCUUUUCUGAAGUUAAAAGGUGAUCUUAAU